CCUACGGGUGGCAGCAGUGGGGGAUAUUGCACAAUGGGGGGAACCCUGAUGCAGCGACGCCGCGUGGGUGAAGGAGUGCUUCGGCAUGUAAAGCUCUAUCGGCAGGGAAGAAGCAAGACGGUACCUGACUAAGAAGCCCCGGCUAACUACGUGCCAGCAGCCGCGGUAAUACGUAGGGGGCGAGCGUUGUCCGGAUUCACUGGGUGUAAAGGGAGCGUAGACGGACAGGCAAGCCAGGGGUGAAAGCCCGGGGCACAACCCGGGAACUGCCUUUAGAACUGUGCGUCUAGAGUGCGGGAGGGGUAGGCGGAAUGCCUGGUGUAGCGGUGAAAUGCGUAGAUAUCAGGAGGAACACCGGCGGCGAAGGCGGCCUGCUGGACCGCGACUGACGUUGAGGCUCGAAAGCGUGGGGAGCAAACAGGAUUAGAUACCCCAGUAGUC
rnacentral:rRNA from 1 species